UACGAAGGGUGCAAGCGUUAAUCGGAAUUACUGGGCGUAAAGCGUGCGUAGGCGGUUUGUUAAGUCUGCUGUGAAAGCCCCGGGCUCAACCCGGGAAGUGCACUCGAAACUGGGAGGCUAGAGUAUCGGAGAGGUUGGUGGAAUUCUCGGUGUAGAGGUGAAAUUCGUAGAUAUCGAGAGGAACACCGGUGGCGAAGGCGGCCAACUGGACGAAUACUGACGCUGAGACUCGAAAGCGUGGGGAGCAAACAGG
rnacentral:rRNA from 1 species